ACUCAAAUGAAUUGACGGGGGCUCACACAAGCGGUGGAGCAUGUGGCUUAAUUCGAGGCUACGCGAAGAACCUUAUCCUGGACUUGACAUGUGCGAAAGCGUCCGGAAGUAGGGGGCGGAAACGUUCCCCCAACGGUAUCCAGUCCGGAACCGGAUACAGGUGCUGCAUGGCUGUCGUCAGCUCGUGUCGUGAGAUGUUGGGUUAAGUCCCGUAACGAGCGAAACCCUUGUCGCCAGUUGCUACCCCUAUGGGGAGGACUCUGGCGAGACUGCCGGUGUUAAACCGGAGGAAGGCGGGGAUGACGUCAAGUCCUCAUGGCCUUUAUGUCCAGGGCUGCACACGUGCUACAAUGGCGUGAACAGAGGGAAGCCAACCCGCGAGGGGGAGCAAAUCCCAAAAAGCACGCCCCAGUUCAGAUUGAAGGCUGCAACUCGCCUUCAUGAAGUUGGAAUCGCUAGUAAUCGCGGGUCAGCAACACCGCGGUGAAUGUGUUCCUGAGCCUUGCACACACCGCCCGU
rnacentral:rRNA from 1 species